rnacentral:lncRNA from 1 species
AGAGCUCAUUGCCAUUUGCCACCUUCACUCCACCCUGCUUACCUGGACAAGACUCUUUAACUUCUCAUCAGAGUGCAAAGCAAUACUCCUGAUUCAUUGCAUCUCUAAAACACCUUUACCAAGCCCACCUUCUUCUAAUAGCUCCUUGACUUUCAUGUAUCAUAGCAUUUCCAAAAUAAUCAUAUGGUGGUGGUGAAACCAACCUUGAUCCAAUCAGAAUUCAACCCCAAUGCCCACAUUUUUUAAAAAUAAAUUAAUCUUACCAGCUUCUAUUUUAUUUUAUAACAUUAGUUCUAAC